UACGUAGGCGGUCCGGUAAGUGGGGUGUGAAAUCCCUCGGCUCAACCGAGGAACUGCGCCCCAUACUGCCGGACUUGAGGGAGACAGAGGUAAGCGGAACUGAUGGUGGAGCGGUGAAAUGCGUUGAUAUCAUCAGGAACACCGGUGGCGAAAGCGGCUUACUGGGUCUCUUCUGACGCUGAGGUACGAAAGCUAGGGGAGCGAACG
rnacentral:rRNA from 1 species